AUUUGGCUUAAAAGCCGGCAUUCGGCUUUGCCACCACAACUCAUCCUGAGCCAUGAAGAUCCUUCACCUGUGCUUGGCAGUCCUCUCCUUGCUGCUCCUGGUUUCCCCAGGAUCUGCACAGGAGGAACCUAGCAGUAAUGAGGAAUGUCUUAAAGCCAACGGCCGUUGCUACCGUAAACGUUGUCCCGUUAAUCAUGAAAAGAUUGGAACGUGUGUUUUAUCCAGUUUUUUCUGUUGCAAAAGAUUGGAGGAGUGAUAGAUGCCUUUGAAAUAUGGAAGAUGCUCCCUCUCUUUGAGAGCCGCUGGAUCCCACUUCAUCCCCAGCUAGGGACUUCUCCUCCAUAGCAUCCAGACUGAAAAAAAGCAACAUUUUCAAGGCUUACAUGAGCUUGUGCUUUGCAAUAA